rnacentral:lncRNA from 1 species
AAUGGAUCUAAAGAGCAAAAUUCAGAAAAAUUACCUUGAAUGUGGAGAAAAUCUGAAGAGCGAUUUGACUAGUAAGUUGAAACUUCAGAGAGAAUAUCCAAAACUUCAAUUGAGGAGAGAGAGUGAAAAGUAAAAAUGAAAUUCACUCUCCCCUCUAUUUAUAGAUCGACCCAGGAAAGGGAAGAGACGCUUUGAUCCAAUGGUCCUUACACUCCCUCGUAAAAAUCAAAGCAGUAAAUGCACCCUUUCACGUCCCCAAUAAAAGAGGAUGCUCGAAUUUCACUCGAGCAAGUCCUCAAGCAAAAAGCUGCACUUCGCAGAAAACCUCCUCGUUGCUAACUUCUUCGUCAUAGCAACGAGCAACAAUUCCUUUAUAUCCUCGUCAUCAUUGCGAGCAACAAUACUGCUCGUUGUUAUCUCUUCAGCAACGAGCAACUAUUCCAUCUUGUGCAGUAUCUCCUUGCAGGAGAUAUGAGCAACACAUACUUCCUCGUAACCAUGAUUACGAGCAAGAUAUUAAAACAUCCUCGAAAAAUCAAUUCGAGCAAAACAUUGCAGAUACUCGCUACGAGCAAGGCCUAGACGAGCAACUUCCUCGUCCACUCUCGUUCAAGAGAGGUUGCAAGGAGAUUUCCUUCUGCACUUGGGCACACAUCUAAAGUCAUCACUCCUAUGCCUAGGAGCAACGACUUGGGGGGCUCCUGUUCUGGACUAGACUAAUGCUAGUCCACCUAGACCCUCUCAAAGUCCACAUGGCUUGCCCAAUCACCUCCAUGUCAGCAUGGCACAACCUCUCC